UGACGGGACCUGAAUACCUGCUGAAAGUGU
rnacentral:piRNA from 1 species